rnacentral:rRNA from 1 species
UACGAAGGGGGCUAGCGUUGUUCGGAAUUACUGGGCGUAAAGCGCACGUAGGCGGAUUAGCAAGUCAGGGGUGAAAUCCCGGGGCUCAACCUCGGAACUGCCUUUGAUACUGCCAGUCUAGAGUCCGGAAGAGGUGGGUGGAAUUCCUAGUGUAGAGGUGAAAUUCGCAGAUAUUAGGAAGAACACCAGUGGCGAAGGCGGCCCACUGGUCCGGAACUGACGCUGAGGUGCGAAAGCGUGGGGAGCAAACAGG